GCGGGUGUAGUUUAGUGGUAAAACCACAGUCUUCCAAACUGUCGUUGCGGGUUCGAUUCCCGCCACCCGCUUCA
rnacentral:tRNA from 1 species